GGACCCGCACAAGCGGUGGAGCAUGUGGUUUAAUUCGAUGCAACGCGAAAAACCUUACCUACUCUUGACAUACUUGGAAGCUCUUGUAAUGAGAGUGUGCCUUUUGGAACCAAGAUACAGGUGCUGCAUGGCUGUCGUCAGCUCGUGUCGUGAGAUGUUCCGUUAAGUCGGAUAACGAGCGCAACCCUUACCCUUAUUUGCCAGCGAUUCGGUCGGGAACUAUAAGGGGACUGCCGGUGAUAAACCGGAGGAAGGUGAGGACGACGUCAAGUCAUCAUGGCCCUUACGAGUAGGGCUACACACGUGCUACAAUGGGGAAUACAGACGGACGCUAAGCCGCGAGGUGGUGCUAAUCCUAGAAAGUCUAUCUCAGUUCGGAUUGGAGUCUGCAACUCGACUCUAUGAAGCUGGAAUCGCUAGUAA
rnacentral:rRNA from 1 species